CUCAUACACACACAAGUUCUUUUGUAUGAGUAGCAGAAAGGAUGACGAAGUGCCCUCACUGUCGUAUAAAGAAACACUGACAGCUGCUGGAAUGGGGGAGCGUAAAAUAGUAUUCCCAGGUAAGUUUAAUAAGCCACUUUUAAGCUCAAGUACCGUGUGUGUGUUCAGAAGACUUUGAAUUCAUUAUUUUUUUUUAGACAUUAUAGAUAUUUUAAAUAUUGAUGUAUUACUUAACUUGCUAUUGUUAGAAUAAAGCCACAUCAUCUGUAAGUCUUAAAGUUAAACUGCAAACUUAAUUCACCACUCAUAACCUUUGUACCUCUGUCUUUUAAGAUACAGGGUUCCCGCGGGGUCUUAAAAAGCCUUAAAAGUAUUGAAUUUAUUAAUUUGGAAAUAAUACCUUAAAAAGACUUUAAAAAGUCUUGAAUUUUGAUGUCUGGGUCUUAAAAAUUGUGCUGUAUGUAACUUCUCCGUAUUGUAAUUUUCCUCAAAAGUUUCAUUUGUCAACCACGAUUAUUUUGAUUAAAUGACGUAGUAUAAAUAAAGAGUGGCGGAACCAAUAAUUGAGAACGCAACGCAGCCCCGGGUCACAGUACAAAAUACUGCGAACACGUGAUGCCUUCAGUAAAUGAAGAUUAUGCGCUACAGCACCACAACCAUAGACUCCAACACAACACAACACAGACCUCAAGCAACAAGCAAAGGAGAAGCGCGAAAAAUCAAAGAAAAUCUCGGCAUUCCACGUUAGCUAGCAACCGAUUUCAUUCUGAGGUUAUGGGGAAAUGUAAAUUUAAUGAAGCUUGGCUGGAUAAAAACUCUUUUCGUCAUUGGUUAAAACCAGUGGACAACAACGUUUUUGAGGCUUUUUGCACCAUAUGCAAAAAAAGGAUUCAGCUAGGUACAAUGGGAAUGAAGGCAUUAGAGUCUCAUGCCAAGUCGUCCAAGCACAUGAACGCUCUCAAUGGACAAAAACAAACUCCUUCCAUCGCCUGCGUGUUUCAACCAACUAAUGUUAGCCAGCUAGCUACUAAUGUGCCUGAAGCGGCAGGAGGAGCUAAUGUUAGCCAGCUUCCUGCUAGCGCUGCAGACCCUCCAGCUAUGACAGCAACUAGAGUGGAUCUGCGCACAGCUUUUGGGACCACACCAGCAAUGAAAGCCGAGGUGUUGUGGACUCUUAACACAAUCGCUAAACACCAGUCCUACAAUGGAAAUGAGGGUAUAUCAGAGCUUUUCAAGUGCAUGUUCCCUGACUCCAACAUCCCUAAAACGUUUACUUGCGGUCCCGACAAAACAGCUUACAUAGCCAAGUUUGGUUUAGCUAUUCACAUCAAAGAAGAACUGGUGUCCAAAGUCAACAAAUCGCCGUUCGUUCUGAUGUUUGAUGAGAGUCUCAACGAGACAACGAAAAACAAACAGCUGGAUGUGCACGUCCGCUUCUGGAACGAGGGACAGGUUCAGUCCAGAUAUCUGGGCUCUCAGUUUAUGGGACAUUCCACUGCACAAGACCUGCUGUCGCAACUCAAAGAAUGUAUGGACAGACUGAACCUCAGGGACUUGGUGUCCAUCUCAAUGGAUGGGCCCAGUGUGAAUUGGAAACUCUUCGACCUUUUCCAGAAAGAUCACGCUGAGCAGUAUGGAGGUGCUCAGCUCAUUUGUGUGGGGAGCUGUGGCCUACACACGCUACACAACGCAUUCAAGUGUGGGUUCACUGCAUGGCAGCUGGACAAGUUGCUGAAAGCAAUGCACACAUUGUUCCUCAAUGUGCCCGCCAGGAGAGAGGAUUACAUCACAGUAACCAAGUCUACUGUGUUCCCCCUUUCUUUCUGUGCCCAUCGUUGGGUGGAAAACCUUCCGGUUGUGGAGAGAGCCCUGGAAGUCUGGCCAUCACUGCUCUUGUACAUGGAAGCCGUGAAAUCAAAGAAACUCUUGAGCCCUGGAACAGCAUCUUAUGACACAGUUGCAGCAGCCAUGAAGGAUCCACUCAUCUUGGCCAAAUUUCAGUUCUACGCGGCACUCGCCAGGACCUUCACUCCCUUCCUGAAAAAAUAUCAGACAGAUGAGCCUGUGCUUCCAUUCCUUCCGAAGGACCUGACUGAGUUGAUGAUGAGUCUACUCAGACGCUUCAUAAAGAGAGAAGUCCUCCAUGAUAUCACUGCCCUGCAGCUGACCAAAUUGGAUGUCACAGACAAGACCAUCUGGCUCAGCCCACAAGACAUCAGCAUUGGUCUAGGUGCAGAGUCAGUCCUUAAGGUAGUGUGAUGGUUUAAAA
ensembl:lncRNA